GUGCCGCACGUCCCUCCACAUGAUGUUCCUCACUUGAACAAAAGAAGGGAAUCAAAAGGAUUUCUCUCAUUUUUGAAAAAUCUUUCUCUCUCCUUGCUCAUACAUGCUCUCUCUAAAAACACCAACCAAACGUCAUUUUCCAACUUUCUAAGAUCAAACAAGCCUGUUUUUUUCUCUCCAGAAAAUCAUGAAUUUUCUCAACCCAAAAAACACCAUGAGUGUUCUCAAGUCCAAACCCAGAAAAAAUUCAAACAGGGCCAAAUCCAAAAACAAACAACAAUAACCCCAACUAAAAUCAGAUUCUAA